GGCGAACGCUGGCGGCGUGCUUAACACAUGCAAGUCGAACGGAAAGGCCCUGCUUUUGUGGGGUGCUCGAGUGGCGAACGGGUGAGUAACACGUGAGUAACCUGCCCUUGACUUUGGGAUAACUUCAGGAAACUGGGGCUAAUACCGGAUAGGAGCUCCUGCUGCAUGGUGGGGGUUGGAAAGUUUCGGCGGUUGGGGAUGGACUCGCGGCUUAUCAGCUUGUUGGUGGGGUAGUGGCUUACCAAGGCUUUUACGGGUAGCCGGCCUGAGAGGGUGACCGGCCACAUUGGGACUGAGAUACGGCCCAGACUCCUACGGGGGGCAGCAGUGGGGAAUAUUGCACAAUGGGCGGAAGCCUGAUGCAGCAACGCCGCGUGCGGGAUGACGGCCUUCGGGUUGUAAACCGCUUUCGCCUGUGACGAAGCGUGAGUGACGGUAAUGGGUAAAGAAGCACCGGCUAACUACGUG
rnacentral:rRNA from 1 species